GACGUAGGGCGCAAGCGUUGUCCGGAUUUAUUGGGCGUAAAGAGCUCGUAGGCGGUUUGUCGCGUCUGCUGUGAAAACUCGGGGCUUAACUCCGGGCCUGCAGUGGGUACGGGCAGACUAGAGUGCGGUAGGGGAGACUGGAAUUCCUGGUGUAGCGGUGAAAUGCGCCGAUAUCAGGAGGAACACCGGUGGCGAAGGCGGGUCUCUGGGCCGUAACUGACGCUGAGGAGCGAAAGCGUGGGGAGCGAACAGG
rnacentral:rRNA from 1 species